rnacentral:tRNA from 1 species
GGCGCUGUGGCACAGUGGGUUAAUGCGCUGGCCUGAAGCGCCGGCAUUCCCUAUGGGCGCUGGUUCUAGUUCCAGCUGCUCCA